CCCUCAAAACUGUCCCCCUCAUUCACCCUCAUCAGAGGCCCAAUCCCAAAACCCUAGAGCUGCCCUAAAAGCCUCAUCUCAUCUGGUGGCGGCGCCAGCUCCAUUCACCAACAAAUGAAUACCCUAGUAUCUCCUCACUCUCCACACCCCCAAUCCACAAUCAAGUUCCUUCGAACAUGCCCAUAACCCUUCGAAUAUGGGUCUAAAACCAAGAACCCCAGCGCCACCCAACUUUUCACGGUGGCGGCGCCACCCCAAACCCAACCAAAAUAACACCAGAUAAUCACCAAAAGACCCUAUACCCUAAUCCAUGGUCAGUUACCCACGAAUCAUCUUCAAACUCUUCUAAAUCCCAGAUCACAGUCGGCCCCUAAUGUAAAAACUGAGUCUCUACUUUGUCCUUUGUCUAAAAUGAUUUUAUUCAUUCGUUCUCUAUUAGGACAUACGAUUAAUAUCAUGUUUAAACCGGGCAUUCAAAGUUUGGGGGUUUUGAGCUUCCUUUUAUUUUUUUCUUGGUCUGGAUAAUAGUAAGUUUUCUUUUCUCUCUGUUUGUUUUAAGUAAUUAGUUAAUUAAUUUUUUCCUUUCUUAAUUAUCUUGCUAUCUCUGUUUACCCUUAUUUUUCUCUUGGCUUGGUUUCUGCAUGUGACUGUUUCAAAUAAUAUUUAGUUUUGUUUAUCUCCUGGUUUAGUCGGGUCGUCCCUGUUAAUCACUCAUCACUAAGGGCUGAGUUGAUUUUGUGAUGGUCAGAAUUUUCGAGUUUUUUUUGGGUCGUUUGGGCCUCAUUUUUGAUUGUGAAGUUAUCCGUAGACCCAAUAGUGAAUUCAUUUGUGUCCAUUCAGACCCAUUAAAUUGGGUCGUGUGGCCCAGACCCUUAAUUGUUAGACUUAGGUAAUUUCAGGGGGGUUGGAGGGGUAAUACACUUAGGGAAUCUUUAGUAACUGAUUGUAGAAGUCUCUAGUAGGAGUUCUGUGGGGAUUUCAUAGUUCUGGCUAUUUAAACUUGGGCACCAAGUUAUUAAUUGGAGGACUAGAUAUCAAAAAGGAAAAGUGAACCUAUAUAAGGUAAUAUUCUUGCCUUUGAAGGCAAGACUUGGAGAUUUAAAAAUCUGGAAAAAAUACGGCUGGAAAUUCUUGACUAUUGCAUUGAAUUUAAUAUCUUUUGAUAAUAAAUCUAACUCACUAAAAUAUCUUUUUAAUUUACUAAGUGUGUGAGAUGGUGUGAGUUAAAAUACCAGCUGGGUUAGAAGUUUGGUGCUGGAGUUACUGUUCCAUUGGGUUUUUAUUUUCUGAGAUUUAUUUUGGUGCGAGCUUGUUUGAAUAUUGCAAUAUGUGGGGCUGUAUUCUCUAUUCUGGUAUCGAUUUUGGGUGUUGUUUGUUUCCUCCUGCUGAAACUCACUUCUUCUUACUCUUAUUUCCAGGUAUCUUCCUAGGCUAAUGAACUGUUCUUAAAUGUUGAUCUUGUCAUCCAAUGACUAUGGUGGAAUACAAAGUGCGUUUCAACUCAACUAUUUCUCUAGCUCUUCUUUGUUUUCUAUUAUAUGUGAGCCUACAAUAUUAGGCACUAGAUGAGUUGAUUUAGCAUGCUGUAGAUUUGGUUCUGAGUUUGUGUUUUAACAUUAGGCUUCAUCUAUUGAGCAGCAUGAUUAGUGAAUAUGGAUAAAUUUGUAGAUGAAGUUUCUUGUAUAAACAAGUCAUGGACUUUAACUUGUAGUUCUACUUUGAUUUUAUGUUGAAUGACAAGUCUCAUCGUGUUUCUGUUGGGGCAUAAUGGUUUGGUUUUUGCAAAUUCAUCCGGAUUCGUCGAAUUGCUGAAUGAGGGUUGUAGGUUAUUAUUAAGUUUGCUCAGGUUCUGAUUCAAAUGAAUUGGCUCUAUGGAAGUUGGAGUUUAGAUUAAUUUCGAGUUUUGUAAUGGGUAGUAAGCAUGAUGAUCGAACAGUUGUUGAUUUGGAUCCUUAGUCUAAGUGUUUAUCUGGUCACUUUAUUUGAGCAAUUGGAAACAGAGACUGGAAUACAUGCAAAUGGUGUUUGGAUUUUUAUAAUCAAGCAUUUUAUAUUGCUAAGCCACUUUGUGUUCUUGAUGAUAGCUACUGAUUAUAAAAUUAACAUCUAUGUGGAAACAACCAAGUUUCAAUGAGUGGUUAGUGAUUUGUAUAUGCAUUGUGAAUUUGACUAACAACUUUGGGGAAUUAAUUCGAGUAUGUUAAAAGGAGUUGAUCCAGCGGGGUGCAUUGGGCCAUGGGGUUGACGUUUGGGCCCAAGGUUUAAAGUGGCGUGUCCUGUUCCAUCGAUUAAUGAAAUUUGGGCUCACCUUGGGCAUAGAUGCUCCAUUACUGUCGAGUUCAGCUCAUUGCGCUAACACUUGGAGUAGUUAUAAUCUUAGUAGCAUUUAAUCGACUCAUUCAUUCCCUAGACCGGAGGUUGCCAUAUUGAUCCAAUUGAAUAAGUUAUGGCCUUCCCAAAUUAAUGUAGAAGUCUUUAAUUAGAAUAGAUUGAGGUGCACCGCGCCGAACAAAAAUGAUAAAUGCGUGGCCCUCAUAUAAUUAUGUCUUUAAAAUAUUUAGAACUUGAGGUGUGCCAUCUAGCUAAUUUCAUGGCCCUCAUAAAGUUAAACAACAUGUUAUUUUCUUUAGGCACGUACUUUAAUAAUCUACCUUCCUAAACCCGGGUGCGUAUUUAUGUGACCAAAAUCAAAUCUCAAUGACGUUGCAAUUCUCCUUUCAAAAUAACAAAUAAAAGCGAUUAAAAAGGUAAAAUCUGCACAUAGGUUCAAUAUUGUUUAAAAUCAAAUAAACAAGUCGAAUAUGACAGUUGAGCGACUAUGCUAGAACUAUAGAAUCCGGAAUGCCUAACACCUUCUUCCGGGUUAACAAAAUUUAUUACUCGGAUUUCUGGUCGCGGACUGUUAAACAGAAUCAAUAAUUUCCUCGAUUCGGGAUUCAAUUGGUGACUUGGGACACCCUAAAUCUCCCAAGUGGAGACUCUGAAUCUUCUAAUACAAAUCCCAUUUCGAUUGUCCUUUAAUUGAAAAAUUCUUUUACGCCCUUGCAGGGUGUAGAAAACAAGGAGGUGUGACAGCUCUGGCGACUCUGCUGGGGACAUGAACCCAAAACUUUUGGUUCAGGGUUCAGGAAUUCGAGCUUAGAAUAAUUGUUGUAUUUGACUUUGUUUUUGUUAUCUGAUUUUAUUACAUGUUUGGGCCUAAUGUGCUAAGUGAUGCUUUUUACCUCUUGGAUAUUAUUUGAACUGUACAUAUAAACUGUUACGAAAACCCUUCUCUUCUUAUCUCUGAGGAUGUGCCCGCUGGUUGAGACUCCCUUUCUGUUAGUUUUAUACCUUGAAAUAAAAAAAAGGCUCAGACAAGUUACUAAGCCGGAUAAUCUUGUGGGUCCCCGGUACGUAGCUCCCUCCUUGACUCGAGUUGUCCGCUGGGUACACAGUCCAGAACAAAUACCCAGAUUUUGAACCUAGAAUAACUCAGCCUCAUGCCAAAUCCCUAGUAGGAAUGUUUGUUUGCAUCAUAUGCAUUUUAUUUUGGAGACUCAACACAGAGGUUGGGCCUAUCUAAGAUAGGUGUACCAAAAAUGAAAAGACCAUCCUGAUGCAUCUUACAUGCUAUGUGUGCAUUUAUUUAUUUCAUACUUUAAUGCUGACCGACUUUUGAAUAUUUGGGAAGAGUUGAGAAAAAGAGAAAUAGCAGUAAGAGGGUAAAGAGAGUUAUCCGCCUGUUUUGAAAAUCAAUGUCCAAAUAGUGCCGAAACUCCGCCGAAUUUUUGAGAAAAAUGAAAAAAAGAAGAGAAGGGAAAAGGAAAAUUUGUUUUCAAAAAUAGUUUAUUUUAUUUGCUACUGAAAAAAUUAAAAAAAGUCUUGUUUUAUUUGCCAGUUUUUAUUCUCCUAUGAAAUGAAAAAAAAGAGCAAAGGAUAAAAGAGUCUUGUUUUUAAAUAUAGUUUGUUUGCCCGAACUACGCCAUUUUGAUUCUCACAGGGUGUGUGAUACGUAGGCAACCCCAUCGGGUCCAACUUCUCUUUUUGCAAAAAUAGACCGAAAUGAACAAAAUUUUGUUUUUUUAUUGUAAAUAGGUGAGGUGAUGCGCUUUUGUCGAAAAUAGCCAAAUAUUCUCGAAUGCGACGCCGGAAGGCUGAUUUUGCUUAAACAACCACAUUUGGUCUUUUUCCAAUUUUUUGGGCCAGCUAGCAGGAAAAACCUUAAAAUCUACCCCCGUAAGUGCUGAAAGGCCGUAUCGGUAAAGCUGGGUUUUUGGUUUUAGAAUUAAAAAUACGAAAAAGGUGUCAAUUUUGAUUUUGGAGUCGAAUAGAAUAAAAUCGUGACUAUUUUUAUUAAUCACCUUAAUAAAUGUGCAGGAUGAGCACAAUCCAAAAUGAACCUUCCUCAAUAAUAAAGAAAAUCCCUUUGGAGUUGCGGCUGUGGUGGAAUAAUUU
rnacentral:lncRNA from 1 species